rnacentral:rRNA from 1 species
AACGUAGGUGGCGAGCGUUAUCCGGAUUUACUGGGCGUAAAGCGUGUGCAGGCGGCUUAUCAAGUGGUGUAUGAAAUAUCCAGGCUCAACCUGGAGGGGUUAUGCCAGACUGGUAGGCUAGAGUGCGAGAGAGGGGCGUGGAAUUCCGGGUGUAGUGGUGAAAAGCGUAGAGAUCCGGAGGAACCCCAGAGGCGAAGGCGGCGCCCUGGCUCGACACUGACGCUCAGACACGACAGCAUGGGGAGCGAACGGG